rnacentral:rRNA from 1 species
AAUGAACGCUGGCGGCGCGCCUAAUACAUGCAAGUCGAGCGAGAAGACGUAGCAAUACGUUUGUAAAGCGGCGAACGGGUGAGGAAUACAUGGGUAACCUACCCUAGAGUGGGGAAUAACUAGCCGAAAGGUUAGCUAAUACCGCGUACGCUCCUUGGACUUCGGUUCAGGGAGGAAAGCGAUGCCGAGGGUAUCGCGCUCUUGGAUGGGCUCAUGUCCUAUCAGCUUGUUGGGAGGUAACGGCUCACCAAGGCUUCGACGGGUAGCUGGUCUAAGAGGACGAUCAGCCACACUGGCACUGCGACACGGGCCAGACUCCUACGGGAGGCAGCAGUAAGGAAUAUUGCGCAAUGGGCGAAAGCCUGACGCAGCGACGCCGCGUGGGGGAGUAG